rnacentral:rRNA from 1 species
AGUGAACGCUGGCGGUAGGCCUAACACAUGCAAGUCGAACGGCAGCACAGUAAGAGCUUGCUCUUACGGGUGGCGAGUGGCGGACGGGUGAGGAAUACAUCGGAAUCUACUUUUUCGUGGGGGAUAACGUAGGGAAACUUACGCUAAUACCGCAUACGACCUACGGGUGAAAGCAGGGGAUCUUCUGACCUUGCGCGAUUGAAUGAGCCGAUGUCGGAUUAGCUAGUUGGCGGGGUAAAGGCCCACCAAGGCGACGAUCCGUAGCUGGUCUGAGAGGAUGAUCAGCCAAACUGGAACUGAGACACGGUCCAGACUCCUACGGGAGGCAGCAGUGGGGAAUAUUGGACAAUGGGCGCAAGCCUGAUCCAGCCAUACCGCGUGGGUGAAGAAGGCCUUCGGGUUGUAAAGCCCUUUUGUUGGGAAAGAAAAGCAGCAGGUUAAUACCCCGCUGUUCUGACGGUACCCAAAGAAUAAGCACCGGCUAACUUCGUG